AGAGUGAUAGAAAGUUGGUGAGAGGCUGCUUCUCGUUGGGAACAUAUUCGGACAGAAGGUUUCGGAGAAUCUUAGGUUUCAAUCUCAGGUCACACAUGUCGUCAAAACGCUCAAAAGACGCCAUUGAAGUCGUGAAAGAGAGAUGCGGAUGAAGAGAGAGAUUAGGGUUUUAGAACUGUGGCGGACAGACAGAACAGUCGUAGGAUUUGAGCUUGUUAGAGAGAAAGGUUUAACGAAUAACGAAUCAGGCUCGGUUUUUAUUGGUUGAAUCAAAUUGAAUCGGUUUAAUUAAACCGGAUAUACUUGUCUUGUGUUAGCCCGGACCCGGAUGUCUAAUGUAGCCGCUAGACCUAGACAUAGCUCUUGAGACCAAUUAUCCGGGAUCCGAGAUCCGUUUCGAUCCGCUCUGAAAAAUAGGAUAUCCGGAUGGGGCGGAUCCGGAUCCGGAUAAUGAAAAAGUGGAUCCGGAUAAUAGAAAAAUUAAAACUGGAUAUCCGGAUUUGUAAUAUUUUAUAUUAUAAUAAUAUUUUUAAAUAUUUUAUUACUAUUAUUUAAAUUUUAUUAUUAAUUUUUAUUAUAUUUUAUAUAAUAAUAAUACUUUUAAUAAUAUUUUUAAUUAUUUAUAUUAAAUUAUUUAUUUUUAAAUAUUUUUUUAAUUUUAUAUUAAUAAAAAAAAUUUAUAUAAAAAUAACUCAGAUCCGGAUAUCCGGUUAUUUUUACAGAUAUCCGGAUGGAGUGGAUCCGGAUCCGGAUAAUGAAAAGACGGAUCCGGAUACCCUAAAAAAGCCAGAUAUCCGGAUCCGGCCCACCCCUACCUAGACAUUCAGUACAUGGGUUCGGAUCACUUCCAUUCGGGCUUGGGUAAUUCAGUUAGAGGAUUUUAGGAACUAUUUCAAUAUUUUAAAAGUUUGAUUCGAGGUUAAUUUGGUUUGGUUCAGUACAUGGGUUCGGAUCUCUUUGGUUUCGUGUAUCCAAAAUAUUGGAAAAAAAAAAAAGUUAAAUUUUUUGAUAAAUAUACCUAUAAGAUUAGAAUAUAUUGGUAAUUUUGAUCUAAAUAUGAUCAGAGUUAUAAUUGUAAUUUUAAGUAAUUGGGUUAUAUUAGUCUAAAUAUAAUUACUAUUUUUGGUAUAUAAUUUUCGGUUUAGUUUCAUGUCUCCAAAAUAUUGGAAAAAUUUAAAAAUAGUUAAAUUUUGAUAAAUAUACGUAAAAGUUUAUGAUAUAUUUGGCUAUUUUGGUCUAAAAAUGAUUGAUAUUUUUGGAGUUAUAAUUGUAAUUUUAAGUGACUAGGUUAUAUCAAGUCAUAUAAUUACUAUUUUUGGUAUAUAAUUAUACUUUGGAUACUCAUUUGGUUCUCGGUUCGAAUAUGAUUUUUUCAGAUACAUGAGUCUAGGAUCCGUUAUUUUGUCGAUUCCAAAUUCGGUUCAAUUUGCUUUUUAAGAUCAAUUUCGGUUCUGUUUUCCGUUUCCAAAUAUUUUUUUCAAACCUAGUAGCCACUUAACAAAAUAGAAACAUUGAGGCAAAAUCUCUUUUUAUUCCUCUUUUUCUCGGGUCUACACCUCAAAAUUAAAAAAAAUUUGCUUUAAUUUUAUAUCAAAAUAUCAAUUUAUAUCUAAGUAUCAAAAUUCAAAUUUUGGUUAAGAAAUUAUAUAUAUCUUAUUGGUUUACAAAACUUUCAAGUCUUCAACUACCUUAAAGAUAACAUCUAAGCAUUCAACCGGUAAAACUAACAAUUAAAUAUUUUAAUAAGAAUAUGACAGAAGUAAAUUCUUAUUAAUUCAACAAAAAAAAGGUAUGUUCUUUCGGUUGUGAGAUUAAUAAGAACACUAGAUUGUUACCCGCGGUACACCGCGGGUUAAUCAUUUGAUUUUUUUUUGUUUUUGUAUAAACCGAUGAAUUUGUUGUAUAUAAUAUUUUUUGUUGUACAUUGCGAGUCACAUGCGUUGUAACUAAAAAUGAAAAUUUUAAGUUGUAUUUGUUUUGUUUAGUGUUUAAAAUUGUAUAAUUGUAUUUUGAUGUUUGACAAAAAAAAAAAAUUGUAUUUUGAUUUGUUAAUCCCAGGAUUUCACCCGUGAUAUAUUAUCCCGUAUUAAUAUCAAUCCAAAUCCGACCCGUCCCACCAUAUAAUCAUGUCCUGUAAAAUUAAACAUCAUUUUGUUAUUUCUUUUAAUAACACUUUUAUUUAAAAGACAUAUAAUUCGAGUCAAUUUAAAAGUUUGCUUUCAAAUAGUUUCUAUAAUAUAUAUAUUUUCAAAUUAGUGUGUGUUUUUAGACCAACCCGUAAAAAUAUUUAAAAAAUGUAUAUUAAAAUACUAAAUAAUUGUAUUUCGAUUUGUUAAUUUUAAGAUUUCACCGUGGUAUAUUGUCCAGUUUUAGAUAAUUGUAGAAAUUAAGAAAAUAUCUGAAUGACUCAAUUCCGGGUCAGAGUAAAAAAAAAAUACGACCUGAUUAAACGCGCAAAUUUGUUUUUCAAAAAUGUUAAUAUAGAUUGUACACAUACUUUUUUCUUCAUCGAUUGAGUAAUAUAUGUCCGUUUUAAAAAAUUUGAAUCAUAGCAUAUGCAGAAAAAAAUCAAUUUUUUUAUUAAGUAUAUAUAUAUUUUAUAAUAGUUCAAAAUAAUAUAAAUAUAAGAUCAUAUAAAAGUGAAAUGAGAAUCAUAUAUUUAUGUUUUAAUUAGGUAGAGAGGUUUUAGGAAAUUAGUUCAAAUUUGUUAUAUUAGCAUUAAAUAAUAUCUAUAAAAAUUGUAGAGAAUAUGCCAUAAAUAAAGAGUUUAGGUAUAGUAAUUAGUUGAGAAAAUAUAUAUUUUUUAGAUUUUAUUGAUUAAUUUUCGUUUUUUAGUUUUGUCAAAAAUAAGGAAAGAUCCGAUUGAAGAUUUCCGGAUCAAAAUUAAACAAAAUUUGACCCGAUUAGGAACCCAAAAAAGUGUUGCAAAAAUGUAUAGUAGAUACUUUUAAACAACACUUUCACAAGAUUAAUUAUUUUAUGGUGGAAACUAUAACAAGAAAAAGAAAAAAAAAAAAAAAAAAAAAAAGAGAAAAAAAAAAGAAAGGUCGGUUUGUUGUCCUCCACAUCAACAAAAGCUUCCUCCACAGCCUCAUCUUCCUCAGCUUCUCAAGAGUUGUGACCAAUUGAGAUGAGGCUGUGGAGGAAGCUUUUGUGGAUGUGGAGGACUUUGUAGAUGAAGCUAAGAUUGUUGUUAGUACUGAAGAUUUUGAGGAGAUGAAUCAGAUCCGUGAUAGUAUAAAAGAGAUAAUGUUAUCAAUGAAUUAGGUAACGAGGACACAUUCCCUACCAAUGAAGGAAUGGAAUGUGCUUGUGUACCAUGCAGUUGAGAAAGUAAUUGGGACAAUUGGGGAAGGUGACAAGGGUAAGCAGGCAGUGGAAGGGUCAGAGGAUAAAAAAUCGUGGUAUCGCUUCUCCCUAGCAAGUAGAGUGAAGUGCAAGUUGGUGGUGGGUGUGAGGGCCAAGGGGUUGGCUUUCUCAAUUGGUCAAAAUGAGCAGAGCAUCAUCAAGUAUUAUGACCUAAUCACGAAGUCAGCUGAAUUCAAAAAGAGAAGACUGAGGAGGAUGAGUCUUCCCAAGACGGGUCCUUGUUUUUUACACCAUUAGCAGACACUUUUAGAACAAUCUUCUGCUGGAAUUUUGGCACAAUUGGUAACAAUUCUUCUUCCAGACAAUGUUGGUUUCAUGAAUCCGGAGCAAGAAAGAGGUAAACCAAAAGAUCAAAAUUAUAUCUAUAUUCUCUAAGCUACGAAAGGAAUUACUUGCAAAUUGGAGAAGAUCAGAACGAUUAGAAGAAGAUGAGAAGACCAUCAGCAAAGAGGAAACUAUUUUAUUACAAGUAAGACAGAAGGUACAACUAUUUAAAAAUUUUGGUAAAAAUGACACUUGUUUUGAAAAAACGAGUUUAAAGAAAGGUACUAGCUUUUUCUUACCUCGAUCAGUCAACGGUCUCAUGGAUAGUGACUCGAUGCAUUUCUUGGUAGUGUUCAAUUGAUCAGGAUACUCGAGGAUCUCAUGGCAGUGAGUGUGUAGCAGAACUUGGCGACUAGCUCAAACGAGGAAGAUCAGAAAUUUCAAUAAGACAGAUAGUGUUAUCAACCUCAAGCUUUUGACGCUUCUGCAAACUUUUCCAUGACUCGCACCACUAGAGAGCAAGGGAAACGGCAGAUAGCGGAAAAGAAAAAAAAGAAAGGCAUAAGAAAUUGCAAGUAACAACAAUCUUUCUCAAAGACAAGGAAACUACGGAUCGGUGAGCCUCCAAAAACAAGAAAAGAGAGAGAUCCAAAUUAGAGAUAGAGACAGAGAGUGAGCGAGAGAACAGAACAUACCAGUAUACCACCAAUUAAGUCUGGCCUUGUCUCUGGAAAGAAAGAGACUUUGGAUCUCCAAAACCCUUAAAACUCUAUCCACCAUAAUCAAAUCCCUAAACUUCUUAGAAAGAAAGAGAUUUGGAUCUAUUUCGAUUGAAAGAGAUGAUGGAAUGGAGAGUGAGAGAGAGAGAAAGAAAGAAAGCUUUUUCUGUCCUUACACGCGAGUGAGAGAGAGAGAGAAAGAAAGCUUUUUUUGUCCUUACAUGCGCCACAUGGCACGCAUGUGGGGUUAAUUGAACAAUUAACAACACUUUAUUUAUUAUUUUCAAUUAGCAGGCCAAUACAUGUCCCCGUGUUCUAUCAGGGUCCAGGGAAACUCUAUAGCGGCACACAAAUAAAAAGAACAAAGAAGUUAUUGCAAUCAGCAGUUCUAGUAGGUUAUGAUUCUGCUAAAUGUAAUUCAUAUAGAGGAACUCUAGAUGCUAAACAUAUAUAUUAAAGUGGUAGGACAGUCUUGGAAUGAAACCAAGAUCAUAAGAAUGAAGCCAACUCUCUCUUUAUAAUUCCAGGUUGGCUUCAAGAGUGUGAAUGAAUAAAAAUAAUCUCCACAAAGAAAGGGCACCAUCUAGAGGACAUAAUAUUACUAAAUCAUAAGAAAGGUCUUCUUAAAUGUGGCACUUACCAAUAGUGCUUCUGAAGAAUCUUCAUCCAGGCAGGAUUAGUUUCGAAGCGUGUGAAACUGCAUCUUUCUUCGUAUUCGAAAAUCUAGACAGCCUGAUUGAAUAUAAAUAAGAAAGCAUCUUAGAUUCCCAAAAACCUUGUUACAAAAAGCUUGAAAGGCAAUCUCAAGGAAAACAUAAGAGUGGAAUAAUGAUGUGCAAUGUGAAAGUCUCAUUAGACAAAUACCGAGCAUUUAACAAUACAAGUACAAGAAGUUAGAUAGGUUAGCUAAAAUAACAGCCUCCGCAGAGUACAUCAUUCAUAGUUCUAAAAACUAAAUCAAUCUGAUGAACAUAGAAUUCAUUAUCAAACAAGAAACAGAGGAAAUUGAAGAUAACGAAUAGUAAAAAAUUGGAAAAACCUAGUAGAACAGAUUCAAAUUUUCAAAGACCUUGUAAGGAGAUCAGAGGUUGAGGUACAUGAAGCCACUCGGACAAUUCUAGAACUUGCUGGAUUCUGAUUAAAACAAAACAUACAUACCUUAAGAUGUGAUAAUAAACUGUUAAACCAACCAGAGUAUGACUUAAAGAAACGAUCUGAGCUGCAUUCUUGACAUGUAAACAAAUACCCACCCAGCUUUUAUCUGGCUAUAUCAACAACAAGACAAAAUUCCCACAGAUUAACACCAAAGUCGAAAACUUUCACAUAAAGUAACUUGAUUCCAAAAACAGAGUUAUUGAAGACAGAUUUCGUACCAUAUCAGAAGAAACCAAAGCCAAUAAUCUAGCAACCCAAUCAUCAACGGCUGAUUCCGAAUUAGCAUGAAGCUGGAGGAGACUCAGAUAAGAGCUUGUGAGUGGAGAUGGUUGAAACAACCUUGGAGAGUGAUAGAAAGUUGCUGAGAGACUGUUUCUCGUUGGGAACAUAUUCGGACAGAAGGUUUCGGAGAAUCUUGGGUUUCAAUCUCAAGUCGCACAUGUCUUCAAAACGCUCAAAAUACGCCAUUGAAGCAGUGAAAGAGAGAUGCGGACCAAGGGAGGGAGAAGGGUUUUGUGAGAUUAGGGUUUUAGAACUGUGGCGGACAGACAGAACAGUCGAGCUUGUGAUGUU
rnacentral:lncRNA from 1 species